UGAGUGAAAUCCAAUCUCUACAACUAUGCAAUACCCCAACCACUCCAUUUCAUAACGAACUUCGUACGAACCUGAAUUGUUCAAUUUCAUGGACCAAUCGAUAUCGUAUUGAGUCCAACACUUGGGGAACAUGAUAAUACGGUGGGAGGAGUCAUUUGGUGGGUUUUGAGUGAAAUCCAAUGUCUACAACUAUGCAAUACACCAACCACUCCAUUUUAUGACGAACUUCGUACGAACCUGAAUUGUCCAAUUUCAUGGAGCAAUCGAUAUCGGAUUGAGUCCAAAACUUGGGGAACAUCAUAAUGUAAUGGGAGGAGUCAUUUGGUGUCUUUUAAGUGAAAUCCAAUGGCUAAAACUAUGCAAUACAGCAACCACUCCAUUUCAGAACGAACUUCGUUUUAACUUGAAUUGUCCAAUUUCAUGGACCAAUCGAUAUCGGAUUGAGUCCAAAACGUGGGGAGCAUCACACUAUGGUGGGUGGAGUCAUUUGGUGGCUUUUGGGUGAAAUCCAACGGGAAAAAAGUAUGCAAUACACCAACCACUCCAUUUCAUAACGAACUUCGUGCGAACCUGUAUUGUCCAAUUUCAUGGACCAAUCGAUAUCGGAUUUAGUCCAAAACUUGGGGAUCAUCAUAAUACGGUGGGAGGUGUCAUUUCGUGGGUUUUGAGUGAAAUUCAAUCUCUACAACUAUGCAAUACCCCAACCACUCCAUUUCAUAACGAACUUCGUACGAACCUGAAUUGUUCAAUUUCAAGGACCAAUCGAUAUCGUAUUGAGUCCAACACUUGGGGAACAUGAUAAUACGGUGGGAGGAGUCAUUUGGUGGGUUUUGAGUGAAAUCCAAUCUCUACGACUACGCAAUACACCGACCACCCUAUUUUGUGACGAACUUCGUGUGAACUUGAAUUCUCCAAUUUCAUGGACCAAUCGAUACUGCAUUGAGUCCAAAACUUGGGGAACAUCAUAAUAUGAUGGGAGGAGUCAUUUGGUGACUUUUGAGUGAAAUCCAAUGGCUAAAACUAUGCAAUGCACUAACCACUUCAUUACAGAACGAACUUCGUACGAACCUGAAUUGUCCAGUUUCAUGGACCAGUCGAUAUCGGAUAGAGUCCAAACCCAGGGGAACAUCAUAAUACGUUGGGAGGAGUCAUUUGGAGGGUUUUGAGUGAAAUCCAAUCUCUACAACUAUGCAAUACACCAACCACUCCAUUUCAUAACGAACUUCAUACGAACCUGAAUUGUCCAAUUUAAUGGACCAAUCGAUAUCGGAUUGCGUCCGAAACUUGAGGAACAACAUAAUAUGAUGGGAGGAGUCAUUUGGUGCCGUUUGAGGGAAAUCGAAUGGCUAAAACUAUGCAAUACACCAACCACUCCAUUUCCGAACGAACUUCGUACGAACCUGAAUUUCCCAAGUUCUAGGACCAAUCGGUAUCGGAUUGAGUCCAAAACUUGGGGAACAUCAUAAUACGGUGGGAGGAGUCAUUUGGUGGCUUUUGAAUGAAAUCCAAUAUCUACAACUAUGCAAUACGCCAACCACUCCAUUUCCUAACGAACUUCGUACGAACCUGAAUUGUCCAAUUUCUUGGACCAAUCUAUAUCGGAUUGAGUCCAAAACAUGGGGAACAUCAUAAUACGGUGGGAGGAGUCAUUUGGGGGGUUUUGAGUGAAAUCCAAUCUCUACAACUAUGCAAUACACCAACCACUCCAUUUCAUAACGAACUUCGUACGAACCUGAAUUGUAAAUUUCAUGGACCAAUCGAUCUCGCAUUGAGUCCAACACUUGGGGAACAUGAUAAUACGGUGGGAGGAGUCAUUUGGUGGGUUUUGAGUGAAAUCCANNNNNNNNNNNNNNNNNNNNNNNNNNNNNNNNNNNNNNNNNNNNNNNNNNNNNNNNNNNNNNNNNNNNNNNNNNNNNNNNNNNNNNNNNNNNNNNNNNNNNNNNNNNNNNNNNNNNNNNNNNNNNNNNGGGAGUAGUCAUUGGUCGUAUUUUGAGUGAAAUCCAAUGGGUUAAGACUAUGCAAUACACCACCACUCCAUUUCAGAACGAACUUCAUACGAACCUGAAAUGUCAAUUUCAUGAACCAAUCGAUAUCGGAUUGACUCUAAAAGUUGGGGAACAUCGUAAUACGGUGGGAGGAGUCAUUUGGUGGGUUUUGAGUGAAAUCCAAUCUCUACAACUAUGCAAUACACCAGCCACUCCAUUUCCUAACGAACUUCGUACGAACCUGAGUUGUCCAAUUUCUUGGACCAAUCUAUAUCGGAUUGAGUCCAAAACUUGGGGAUCAUCAUAAUACGGUGGGAGGAGUCAUUUGGUGGCUUUUCAGUGAAAUCCAAUCUCUACAUCUAUGCAAUACACCUACCACUCCAUUUCAUAACGAACUUCAUACGAACCUGAAUUGUCCAAUUUCAUGGACCAAUCGAUAUCAGAUUGAGUCCAAAACAUGGGGAGCAUCAUAAUAUGAUGGGACGAGUCAUUUGGUGGCUUUUGACUGAAAUCCAAUGGCCAAAACUGUGCAAUACACCAACCACUCCUUUUCCGAACGAACUUUGCACGAACCUGAAUUGUCCAAUUUCAUUGACCAAUCCAUAUCCGAUUGAGUCCAAAACUUGGGGAACAUCAUAAUACGGUGGGAGGAGUCAUUUUGGGGGUUUUGAGUGAAAUCCAAUCUCUACAACUAUGCAAUACCCCAACCACUCCAUUUCAUAACGAACUUCGUACGAACCUGAAUUGUUCAAUUUCAUGGACCAAUCGAUAUCGUAUUGAGUCCAACACUUGGGGAACAUGAUAAUACGGUGGGAGGAGUCAUUUGGUGGGUUUUGAGUGAAAUCCAAUAUCUACAACUACGCAAUACACCGACCACGCUUUUCAUAAUAACUUCGUACGAACCUGAAUUGUCCAAUUUGAUGGACCAAUCGAUAUUGGAUUGAGUCCAAAACUUGGGGAUCACCAUAAUACGGUGGGAGGAGUCAUUUGGCGUAUGUUGAGUGAAAUCCAAUGGCUAAAACUAUGCAAUACAC
rnacentral:lncRNA from 1 species